UUACCUGUUACCCACGCCCUCAUGUUUGCCAUUGUCUAGUGUCAGUUAUUGUUAAUGUAAUGUAGUUCAUAGUCAUGUCAUGUCAUGUCAAUAGUUAGGGUUACUGGUUUUCAAAUUUGGAAAUAAACUGCACUUGGGUUCGUCACUUCAUCGUCUUCAUCAUUGUCAUUGCCAGCAGCAGCCACUCGUUACAAUUGCAAUCAAGGGAAUUUGCAAGCUUUGUUUAACUUUGGUUUUUAAUUUGUUGUUUUGACUGAAUUUGAAACUGUAUUGCUCAGAGGUUGCUUUUUCAUGGUACAAGAAAUGAGAUCUCAAUUUUGUAUCAAUCUUGUCUCAGAUGUUUCUCGCAAAAUCUCUUGAGAGAAAUAAAAAUAGACACAAAUUACUAAAUGUUGGAGGUACAGUAAACAUAUAGUGCUUUAAAAAUGAACAUGGAUAGUAUGGCACAGAUCGUUUGAUCAAGGAAAAACUUUAUGAGAAAUGCAUACUGACACUGGCAGACAUUGUUGAGAUUUCUUCUGAAACUCAAAAGGAGACACUUGAGAAAAUACUGGAGUCUUAUUCUCAAGAUACACUUAUGAGAUGUAGAAGCAUAUUUAAUUAAUUAAAAAAACAAAUUUAUCUCAACAUUGACUAGAUUUUUCUCUUUAAGGUGAGUAUAGAAGCAAAGUUUGUUUUGGUUGUAAUCAACUUCAUCAGUUCUAUGUGAAUAUAUUUUUCAGUGUCUGAUAUGGGGGUUCUGGGGGAGUUGUGAACACUUCAAGAAAGAAAGAGAGAGAGAAAUGACAAAGGGGGUGGUGUUGGGAAGAAGAAAGCACAGAAGGACAGCAGGAAGGGCUGGAUAUGUUCAAUAAUUUCUGCCGUACGGACACCACAGUAGCCACACUCUAAUUGAAUCCCAUUUAUUCUGUGGAGGCCUCAGCAACAGGCUAAGAAGAGAAAACCUGAAGGUUGAGCUGUUCCGCCCGACCCGGUCUGGACCGGCCCACUUUCACCAUCUGAGUCUGCUUCGGGUUGCCUGCCUCCCCCCUCUCUCGUUCCAUGAGCCAAGAAAAAGCCACAACACACACACAAAGGAUAUCUCUUGCGACCAGCGACGCAAGAAAACCAACGUAAGAGAGUUUCAGGCCCCAUUUCCAGCAGCCAUCAAUCCAACACCUUAUCCUUGAGUAAUCAUGCUAAAUUGCUAAUUUGGUACUAAAAAGUCACUUGCCAUUAUAUCAAACACUGCUGAAAGCUAUUUGGUUUGUUAAAUGAAGCUUAACAUUAUCUUCGUGUUUGUUUUUGAGUUGCCACAGUAUGCAAUAGACUGGCAUGUCUUAAGGUCAAUAAUAGGUCAAAAAUGGCAAAAAAGAAACAGCUUUCUCUAGAAACUUGUCAGUCAAUCAUUGUUUUGAGGAAAGAAGGCUAUACAAUGCUUGAAAUUGCCAAAAAAAACUGAAGAUUUCAUACAAAGGUGUACACUACAGUCUUCAAAGACAAAGGACAACUGGCUCUAACAAGGACAGAAAGAAAUGUGGAAGGCCCAGUUGUACAACUAAACAAGAGGAUAAGUACAUCAGAGUCUCUAGUUUGAGAAUUAGACACCUCACAUAUCCUCAGCUGACAGCUUCAUUGAAAUCUACCCGCUCAACACCAGUUUCAUGUACAACAGUAAAGAGAAGACUCAGUGCAUGCCUUAUGGGAAGAAUUGCAAAGAAAAAGCCAAUUUUGAAACAGAAAAACAAAAACAAAAGGUUAGAGUGCGCAAAGAAACACAGACAUUGGACAACAGAUAAUUGGAAAAGAGUGUUCUGGAUCUUAACCCCAUUGAGCUUUUGUGGGAUCAGCUAGACUGUAAAGUGCGUGAGAAGUGCCCAACAAGACAGCCACAUCUAUGGCAAGUGCUACAGGAAGUGUGGGGUGAAAAGUCACCUGAGUAUCUGGACAAACUGACAGCUAGAAUGCCAAGGAUCUGCAAAGCUGUCAUUGCUGCACGUGGAGGAUUUUUUGAUGAGAACUCUUUGAAGUAGUUUAAGAAGUUCUGAACAUUUUUUUCAAAUUGUAAAAGUAAUUUUUCACGUUAUUAAUGUCCUGACUAUACAUUGUGAUCAACUGAAUGCCAAUUUGGUGAAUAAAAGUACCAAUUUCUU